CAUUUACCUCGCUUCAUUUCGUCAGGCAGGCAACUUAUCUCGCAGCUCGGGAAGUAGAGGAUGUUUCCAGAAGACAUGAAACUCCUUGGUCAGAAACAAAGAAUUCUGUCAUUCAUGGCAUAAAUUCUGCCAAGACCCUACUCCUAAAUCAAAAUGAAAACUUGAAGUC